GCCGCGAUGGCGGAAUUGGUAUACGCGCCAGCCUUAGGAGCUGGUACUCGCAAGGGUUUGAGAGUUCGAGUCUCUCUCGCGGCA
rnacentral:tRNA from 1 species